GAUGAACGCUAGCUACAGGCUUAACACAUGCAAGUCGAGGGACCUGCGCCCGGGUGAGUAACACGUAUCCAACCUGCCCUUUACUCGGGGCUAGCCUUUCGAAAGACAGAUUAAUACCCGAUAUAAAGGAUGGGGAUGCGUUGCAUUAGGUUGUUGGUGAGGUAACGGCCAACCAAGCCUUCGAUGGAUAGGGGUUUUGAGAGGAAGGUCCCCCACGUUGGAACUGAGACACGGGCCAAAGUCCUACGGGAGGCAGCAGUGAGGAAUAGUGGUCAAUGGGCGGUAGCCGGAACCAGCCAAGUAGCGUGAAGGAUGAAGGCUUAUGGGUCGUAAACGUCUUGUAUAUAAGAAUAUGUAUUAUAUGAAGAAGGAUCGGCUAACUCCGUGCCAGCAGCCGCGGUAAUAC
rnacentral:rRNA from 1 species